GUACACCUCCCAUCCGUCCCCCCCGGACGUCCCCCGCCUAUUGCUGAAAGCAACUGUCAUACAUGCACAGCUCCGGGAGUAGGUGGUAGUACUUUCUAAACUGGUUCAGUCUCUGGAGAAUCUGGUGAACCCAAGGAUGUUGACACCGGCAGCAUUGUUCGGCAUUCCAUAAAUAAAGCACUGUCACUCGCUCCAUGUUGAGUUGAACCUGGUAAGCAGCAGAUAGAAUCUCCUCCUAUUUGAUGACGCGGUGAAGCGAGUGGAGCUUUGUUGCACGUUGGCCAUGCGAAUUGCUAGCGAAAUGUCAGGUGAGCGAAAUGUCAGGCAAGCAACCGCACG